AUACGGAGGGGGCAAGCGUUGUUCGGAAUUACUGGGCGUAAAGGGCGCGUAGGCGGAUUGUCAAGUCAGAGGUGAAAGCCCUGGGCUCAACCUGGGAACUGCCUUUGAAACUAACAGUCUAGAGGCCGAGAGAGGAUGGCGGAAUUCCCAGUGUAGAGGUGAAAUUCGUAGAUAUUGGGAAGAACACCAGUGGCGAAGGCGGCCAUCUGGCUCGGUACUGACGCUGAGGCGCGAAAGCGUGGGGAGCAAACAGGAUUAGAAACCCCAGUAGUCC
rnacentral:rRNA from 1 species